rnacentral:rRNA from 1 species
UACGUAGGGGGCAAGCGUUAUCCGGAUUUACUGGGUGUAAAGGGAGCGUAGACGGCAGCGCAAGUCUGGAGUGAAAUGCCGGGGCCCAACCCCGGAACUGCUUUGGAAACUGUGCGGCUCGAGUGCGGGAGAGGUAGGCGGAAUUCCUAGUGUAGCGGUGAAAUGCGUAGAUAUUAGGAGGAACACCAGUGGCGAAGGCGGCUUACUGGACCGUGACUGACGUUGAGGCUCGAAAGCGUGGGGAGCAAACAGG